UACGGGGGGGGCAAGCGUUGUUCGGAAUUACUGGGCGUAAAGGGCUCGUAGGUGGCCAACUAAGUCGGACGUGAAAUCCCUCAGCUUAACUGGGGAACUGCGUCCGAUACUGGAUGGCUUGAGUUUGGGAGAGGGAUGCGGAAUUCCAGGUGUAGCGGUGAAAUGCGUAGAUAUCGGGAGGAAUACCGAUGGCGAAGGCAGGUCUCUGGGCUGACACUGACGCUCAUGCACGAAAGCGUGGGGAGCAAACAGG
rnacentral:rRNA from 1 species